rnacentral:lncRNA from 1 species
CUGGAACGGAGAAAGGAGGCAAACGCUGAAAGACACAGCGCUUAGGGUGUCUCAUUCCCUGGCCCACAUCUGCCCGGAGUUGCAGUCGCAGCGGCAUCUCAUACUGUGUUCACCCCAUAAAUUAAUUCCUCCUUAUCAACAGGGAGUGGCUGGCAGAACAAAGACUGUGUGCCGGCGGAGGCCAGCGUGGGUGGGUGGCUGUCACCACGCGUAGGGACAAUGAGCGCGGAGAGGCCGUGUGUGCGGCAUGAAUGGGAACAGGCGGGCGGGCGCGGGGCACGUGUGCCCGCGAUGCGGCGCGCCCGCGGGAGCCUGCGCGUCCCCACCCCUCGGAGCGGCGGCGGGCGCCGAGCCGGAUUUCUGGAGCUGUCCAUGAGCUCAUCGCUCUCGCGGCGGCGGCGGCGGCCAGGGCAGCAGCCUCCGCUCUCCGCGCGCCGCUAGCCCGAGCCCGGCCGCCCGCUCGCGCCCACCCGGCGGCCCGCCGGCCAGCCCAGCCCGCGGCCAAGGUCGCGCCGCCCCGCCCGGAGGAGGCGGGCGCGGGCAGGGCAGCGGCUUCGGCCGGGACCGCGGCCGGCCAGCCGGGCACAGCCGCCCUCGCUCUCUGCGGCCCAGGCGCCGGGGGCCAGAGGGGCCGCGGGCCGCAGGCCGGGGAGCGGCCGGAGCCGCGGGGGAGCCGGCGUGACAGCGGACGAGCCGGCGCCCGGGAAGAUGGCUUCUCCCACCUCCCCGGCCCCCGAGGGCGGGGCCUGCACCCCGCCGAACCCUCCGCGGAUUCGUCAGAAAAAUGUGGUGCGCUGAGCUUGCUUUUCUUCAGGCAGACGUUGGCCGAAGCCGCCACCUGCAGAGUCCAUAAAGUUCCCCGGUUCCCAGGUCUGCAAGCCUGUGUCAACCAUUCACCGCAUGUGCUGUGUCCGUAGUCUCUGCCGUAAAGCUGCCAGAGAAAAUUGCUAGAAAG